rnacentral:snRNA from 1 species
AUGUGAGGGCGAUCUGGCUGCGACAUCUGUCACCCCAUUGCUCACCAGGGUUGAUUCGGCUGAUCUGGCUGGCUAGGCGGGUGACCCUUUCCUCUCUCACCGCUCCAUGCGCAUCCCUCCCGAAGCUGCACGACAGCCAAAUAAUGACAGACUGGGUCUUCUAUCGAGAGUAUACAAGUAGCUGAGCUCUCCUGCUAGAGUCUCCAAACAAGCUCUCAUUAAAAAAAAGUAUUCUAUAUUACUAAGAAUGUGUUUGAUCCUGCUGAUAAACACAUAGGUAGUUCUAAUUUAUGCAUAUCACAAAGAAUAGAUUUUGUGCAUGU